rnacentral:tRNA from 1 species
AAAUUUAGGUWAACGCACGRAACCCAGGGGSCUUCAAAGCCCCAAAUACGAGUAAACACCCUCUU